UACGUAGGGUGCAAGCGUUGUCCGGAAUUAUUGGGCGUAAAGAGCUUGUAGGCGGUUUGUCGCGUCUGCUGUGAAAUUUCGGGGCUCAACCCCGAACUUGCAGUGGGUACGGGCAGACUAGAGUGUGGUAGGGGAGACUGGAAUUCCUGGUGUAGCGGUGAAAUGCGCAGAUAUCAGGAGGAACACCGAUGGCGAAGGCAGGUCUCUGGGCCGAUACUGACGCUGGAGGAGCGAAAGCGUGGGGAGCGAACAGG
rnacentral:rRNA from 1 species